ensembl:lincRNA
UGGGUCCUGCCUUUCUGCCCCCAGCCCCAGCUGAAACUAGGAAGACUAGGGUAGAUAACUCAAGAACCUAGUGGAGAAACUGCAAGGUCUGAAGACGGCACCAUUUAUUAAGUGGCAUCUAUUUCAUACCAAUUUUAAAACCUCCAUCUUAAAUACUUAGCACCAGCGUGCACCGAACAACCAACCUGGCCUCCAGGACGCCGGCCUGGGCCGGAGCGCCGCUUUGCACGGAAACCCCCCGCUCCACCCCCAGCUCUUGGGGUCCCCAGUGGCAGAGCCCGGCGCCUUCCCGGGUAACUUUUCCCUUCAGUAGGUGGAAGGUUACAUUGGAGGAAAAUAGUCCCUCCUGUGUAAAAAGUUUUCAGGGGAAAAGCGCUCGGUCGGACGUGCAGCAAGGAGGGUGGUCGGGUGGGGGUGCAGGCGCUGAGUCCUGGGUCCCGCUAGGCCCAGCGCUGCUGCACGACCCCGCGCCCGGAGGCCUCGCUGCUGGCGACCUCUGAGGGCGGGAUCCCGGUUCCCGCAGAGCGGUGGAGUCUCCAGGAGCAUCUUCCCCUCCCCCGUUGUUUAGGGGAUUGAACCCGACGCCUUCACACUGAGCUACGUUCUCAGCCCCUUUUAAUUAUUUUUCUUUUAAAUCCUAUUUUUGAGACAGUGUCUUGCAAAAUCGCGGACUUACUCAGGCUGGACUCGAAUUUGAGAACCACCUGCCUCAGCCUCCCACAGUGCUGGGAUACAAGGCAUGCAAUAUCACGCUCAAGGUGAGCCUUGCUUUCAAAUUGAUACUUUUCUUUUGUCCUGAUCUCUUCACCUCAAGUCUGCGUUAAGUAGGAGUGCAGGAAAUGAGAACUAUAGAGAAAAAAAUUAAAAUGCAAUCUUUAAAAUACAAAUGUUCCUACUCCCCUUUUCUCUGUCAGAUUACUAUAGGUGUCAAUUACAUGUGGAUAGGCACUCAGAUCAGGCUCGGAAGCUCUAUCUUCUGCAAGCUCUAUCUUCUGCCCUCACCUGGCAUCAAAAUAAGGUUUUCAUGCAGUAGUAAUUUUGUAGAUCAAAGCCUGCACCUCAAAACGACCUCCUGGGAAGUGGCGUUCAUCUACAGUGUUCAUCUACAGUACACCUACAAAGGCAUAGGAGCUGGGCGUGAUGGCACAUUCCAGCACGUGGGAGGCUGAGGAAGGAGGGCCAGCCUAGGCUACAUAGUGAGACCCUGUCUCAGAAAAAGAAAGGAUGGAAGGAAGGAAGAAAGAAGAAAAAGAUUUAGGGUGUGACAGAGACUCAUUUAAUGAUAGCUAAAAGAGUUUUGCCCUAGAAUAAAUUACUGCACGGUUAUGACGGUGGUCUAAUGUGGAAGGCCACAGCAGGAUGGCCCACCACUUCCUGCUUCUUCCCCAGCCCUAAUUGCAACUCCCCUUCCUGUUUGCGCAGGAAGAAAACUCCAAUCAGCUUCCAGCGCGUCAUCAAUGCCCGUCCUAAGCUCCACCCCUGCUCUAAGGCUACAUGUGUCCCACAUCCCCCACCCCCACCCGCGCCCCAUAUUCAGGAGAAAGGAGACAGCGCAGCCACCAUGGAUUGUGUGCUCCUUCCCACGUCGUCAUCGCAAUAAACCUGUUCUUGUACUUUUGCAUCUCCAUUGCGCCAGAAGUGCUUUGCACACAG